rnacentral:lncRNA from 1 species
CGAGAAGAGUCGCCGAAUAGUCUUCUAAAAGAGUCGACGAAGAGUUUUCGGAAGUGUCGUAGAAGAGUCUCCUGAAAGCGUCACAAAAGCGUCGCCCAGAAGGCUAACAAAGAAGUCGGCUUAAUACAAAAAUUUGAGUUUUAAAUUUAUUUAGGUUCAUUAAUAUAAAGCUUUUUAUAUCCGGUACUCGAAGAGUAAAUACAGUAUAUUGUAUUUGUGCACAAGGUAUGUAACACACAGAAGGAAACCUAUCCGACCCCAUAAAGUAUAUAUGUUCUUGAUCAGCAUAGCCUAGUCGAUUGAGCCAUGUAUGUCUGUCCGUCUGUCCGUCCUGAUGAGCGCCUAGUACUCAGAGACUCUAAGAGCUAGAGCCACCAAAUUUUGCAUCCAGACUUCUGUAUGCUCACACUGUUACAAGCGUAUUUAAAAAAUUGGCCUCGCCCCCUUCCGCCCACGCAAAAGGGCGAAACCCUCCCAAACCUGCAAUUCUGAAGAUAAAAGAACACUAACGAGAAGGGUCUUACACGUCUUCUUACACGUCACGUCUUACAUCUGCACCUUAGCGGUGUUGUGUCAAAUUUAAUAUCUUUUCUUCAUCUGUCAUCUACAUCUACUACACUUCUCACACCAACAAGCUCCUUUAGCUCGCCGACCUUCCCUAGACACACACACUGCAAACUCGCGGCAGAGGCAGCGCCCGCACACAAAAAAAACAAAUAUAAGCUGCGUGACGGGGUGGGUUAAAAGUUGGCAGAGGCAAAGGCAGAGGGGCGGCAGAGUCAGGGGCCGCAUGAAGCAGAAGCAGAGUGUGAAUGAGAGAAUGUGAAAAGAACAACAAAAGCUGCGGGACAGGGUGGGUUUAGCCACUGAAAAUGUAUUUCUCUAUUUUGGCUAUAAUAAUGGUACAAUCGGAUCCCAAUUUGGUGAUCUGAUAGAUAUGGUCAUUCCGUACGGAAUGGAAAAUAUUUAAAAUUUGACACAACCCGCUAAGGUGCAGAUGUAGUACUGAGUGCCGGGUAUAAAAGUUGUGACGCGUAAGAAGUGUCUCACACGUCCCUUCUCGUUAGUUUUCUUUUAUCUUCAGAAUUGCAUAUUUGGGAGGGUUUCGCCCUUUUGCGUGGGCGGAAGGGGGCGAGGCCAAUUUUUUAAAUACGCUUGUAACAGUGUGAGCAUACAGAAGUCUGGAUGCAAAAUUUGAUGGCUCUAGCUUUUAUGGCCUCUGAGAUCCAGGCGCUCAACAAGACGGACGGACGAUUGGACAGAUAGACAUGGCUCAAUCGACUCGGAUAUUGAUGCUGAUCAAGAAUAUAUAUACUUUAUGGGGUCAAAAACUAUUUACAAUAUACCCUAUUUACUCUUCGAAUACCGGGAAUAAUUAAUUCAUGGAUUUAUCACUUUUAUUUUUAUCGGAACACUCCCGUUGGUUUCAUCGCUCUAAUUGAAAUACCGCCAGAGUCAUAAAAUGGGCAGCAUAGAAACUAUAGUUUCUUCAUGGGCAGCACUAAAUACAGCUUUAGAAGCUCUGCCACCACCAGGAGUGCGGUCACACCAGAUCCGAAAACACGUUUGCUAGCAAACAGUGCAACACAUGAUGAUAGAGGCAGAGUGUGACCAGAGGUGAAGGAUGCGUUCCUUACGGUUAAACUACUCAGGCAGCUCUGUUAUUUUGUUUACUUUGUGGAAAUUUGUGAAAAGUUAAUAAAACAAGAAUACAAAAUGGUAGCGGAUCUUAUAUUAUCGGAGGAGAAGAACAUUCAACGUAAUAAACUCCGACAACAUUAAGUAAACCCAAACAAGAAGUUUCGUUUUUCUAUAGAUGCGAGUAUUAUAAAUCAUAUACAUACAUAUGUACACAUGUGCAUACAUAUGAAUGGAAGCACAUUUAACAAUACCCUUUGCACAUUACGCAGUUUGAAAAUAUAACUUAAAUGCAAUCAGUAUUCUUUGAGAAUUUGCUUGUCUGAGAAGAACUUCUGAAGCCUUUUUGGAUUGAUGGAGCAGUCCAGAAACAUAAUUAAGAAACCACUUAAACAUUUUUGUUAACAGCCCAGCCGGGUCUAUGUCUUGGCGACGUGAAGAUAAUGGCUUUCGGAAAAAUUAAACAAAUUAAAAAUACAAAUAAAUUCAAUAUAUUCUCAUUAAUCUCUAAUAAUUGUUUCCUCUUUCACCUAUUUGAUGGCCUCUUUCCACCUGGGCGUCUUUUAGCAGGGUGCGUCGUACACUGCACGAGGAAGACUGUGCGAGCAAGAUAGUAGCUGCUGGACGCGGUGGGUGUAGGAGAUUAAUUUCUUCAUGAUGGCUAUAAUUAUGAUCCAAUCUAAUCCCAAUUUGGUGAUCUGAUUAGAUAUUGUUUUGUGGCUCUAACUUUUAUAGCCUUUGAUAUCCAAGAG